ACCAGACUGCAUCACAUACUUCAAUCUCUGAGAACCAGAGGAGUGUUUGUUUAACAAUUUUGGGAAGACUAUGUAACUCAAUCUCGCCUUUGCCUUUUAUCUUCUUCUCAGUAUAUCUGUUUUUUUAGGAAGACUAGACACCCUUGUAACUCAAUCUUCGUCAAAGUGUGCCUUUGUUGCUGCGAGCUAGAACUCUUCGCUUUCUUUUGCAAAAAAAGUGACGUGAUCUUUGUGUUCUCCCCCCAAAACAUAGGGUUAACUAAUAUUCAAUAAAAGACUGACUUUACAACAAGAACAAACGCAAGUGGGAAAACAAAUUAAACCUUCCGGAGAGGAGUGCAUCAAACGUGAAUGCGACGAGAAGACGACCCGAGUUAACCGGGUUGGGUUCGAGGCUCAGAGUCUCUUUCAGAUUAAUGUUAUUUUAACAUUUUUUGUUAAAUAAAGUGUUAUUUAGAAAUUUUAAUUAAAUUAUAAGAUUUUAAAAUUAAAUUUUAUUUAUCUCAAAUACUAUUGAUCAAUCAUGUAUAAUUAAUACGAAUAUAAAUAUAUUUCAAUCAUUUUUUUUAAUCUAUGUGGAAAAUGUCAAAGUAGUAAUCGGUAAGAAGCGAGUAGUUUAUAGUUUUCAAUCCAAUUUAGAAUCUCCUACUGAUCUGUUGUCUGAAACGGUGGUGUAGCCACCUGAGUGCUUGAUGGCUGGUGAUGAGAAUGAAUUCUCCUCCAUUCCAUAAACACUGUAAUAACCGAUGUGCCAGACAUGGUGAGUCCAAAUCCAACCAUAGUGGCUACGACGAUGCAGGAAACCGGCUGCUUAACCUGCAUACAUGUUAAACCGGAUGCUUAACGUCUGUUUAAUCCCCUAGACUAUAUUUGCAAAGUGAUUUUGCCACAUGUCCUCUCUAUAAUCAUUUUUACAAAAACAAUGAUGACAUGACUAACAAGAUUGAUGACAUGGCUUAUAGUUAAUAUGACAUAGACAAUCACAUUUAUUACUGACAUAUAUUUUUGGGAAACUUUAUAAAAUAUGGCAAUAACUAAUACAUUACAUUUAAUGUUGAUUUAUAUUUUUGGUAAACUUCUUAAAAUAUGGUAAUAAUUCAUAAAUCAUCACUAAAAUAAAUAUAUUGAAAUAAAUCAUCUUAGUCAAAAUAUUGAAACCUUUAAUAGAGAAAUCGGGUGGUCCCAUCAGUUGGAAUAAUUUGAUUUCUCAGGUUUAUUUUUUUUUAAAACCUCACUGCUUCCUGAUUGAGCUUCUUGAUUUUCAUUAUUGUUAUUAUAAUGUCCAAACGCAGGCCUAAGCUCAGUCUGUAAACUUAUCAGCAAGUGACUUGUAUACUCCAGAAGAAACUCCCACACAGUACCUGAACUAUGGUGUUGCAGUUAGCGAGGUAAGCUCUUUGUGUCUUCUCUCAAAUAUCAGAACUGGAAUAUGUAUGUAUAAAUUGAAGUAACUUUGGUGUAUUCAAUGAUGUUAAAUAUAGGUUGAGGUGGACCUUGUGACCGGACAGACCACGGUUCUACAGACAGAUAUCUUAUAUGACUCUGGAAAAAGCCUCAAUCCGGCUGUGGAUUUAGGACAGAUUGAAGGAGCUUUUGUGCAAGGACUUGGUUUUUUCACGCUUGAAGAGUAGAUAACAGAUUCAGAAGGACUUCUUCUGACAGACAGCACAUGGACAUACAAGAUCACCACCGUAGACACCAUCCCAAGGCAGUUUAACAUUGAGAUACUAAACAGUGGACGCCACGAAAAGCGCGUUCUCACUUCUAAAGGUUAGUAUUUUGUACACACAAAGCAUUUCAAGAUCCUGGAAUCAACCUUUUGAUCAUAUUGUUUUCGUGUAAAUGCAGCUUCAGGAGAGCCUCCGUUACUACUGGCAGCUUUGGUGCACUGCGCUACAAGAGAGGCGGUUAAAGAAGCGCUGAAACAGCUAAGGAUGUGGAAAGGUGUGAAUGACUCGGAGUUAAUGUUUCAGUUGCCCGUUCCAGCUACAAUGCCCGUUGUGAAGGAACUUUGUGGUCUAGAUAUCGUUGAGAGCUAUUUGGAAUGGAAAUCCUCAGUUAACUAAAGAUUAUGAGUUAACAAAAAAUUAUCAGUUUUUAUAUUUAAUAUAUAUUCUUGUCUUAAAUUUGGAGAUCGACAUCAUCUUUUCGCGUGUUUUAAAUUAUUCAUUUUCAAUUGCUCAAAACACUGUAUAAAAUGAAAGCAAGCUUAAUGACAAAUACAA